CUAUACAUGACUCUGCGCAUAUCAAUAAGCGGAGGAAAAGAAACUAACAAGGAUUCCCUUAGUAACGGCGAGUGAAGCGGGAAGAGCUCAAAUUUGAAAUCUUCAAGGUUUUACCUUGACGAAUUGUAGUUUAAAGAAGUGUUUUCUGCUGAAGUUUUGGUAAAAGUUCUUUGGAAUAGGACAUCAUAGAGGGUGAGAAUCCCGUAUUUGACCAUUAUUUUCAGCUUUGUGAUACACUUUCAAAGAGUCGGAUUGUUUGGGAAUGCAGUCCAAAAUGGGUGGUAAAUUUCAUCUAAAGCUAAAUAUUGGCGAGAGACCGAUAGCGAACAAGUACCGUGAGGGAAAGAUGAAAAGAACUUUGAAAAGAGAGUUAAACAGUACGUGAAAUUGUCAAAAGGGUAGCGUUUGACACCAGUGUUGUUUUCUCGAAAAUCAAUUAAAAAUGGCUCGAUUUUGUAUUGCUUGAGACCUUAAAAGCUCACUGUACAUUUUUCGUGUCUUUUUUAAUGCACUUUUCGUUUAACAAGUCAACAUCAGUUUCUUUCGUUGUAAAAGGGUCAUUGGAAGGUGGCUUUCUUUUCGGAGAAAGUGUUUAUAGCCUUUGGCCUCUGCAAUCGGAGAGACUGAGGUCUGCAGCGUAGACUCUUCGGGGUUAGAUACAUUUGUGCUAAGUUAUAGCUUUUUAUAGACAACUUGUUGACUAUAAUUAGUCUUGUAGCUUACUCGCUUAUGCUAUUUUACCUACGCUUAGGAUGUUGAAGAUGUAGCACAUCAU
rnacentral:rRNA from 1 species